AAAAUAUUUGUUUUUUAUUUAUGUGUACCUGUAUGCAUGUAUAACAUGCGUACGUUGGUGCUUGUGGCCAGAAGAGAGAAUCAACUACCCAGAUGCUGUAGUUACAGGUAGUUGUGAGCCAAGUGCCAAUGUGGGUUCUGGGAACAGAACUGGGGUCAUCUACAAGAGCUGCAGGCUCUCUUAGCCAUGGAGCCACCUUUGCCGCCUCACAAGAGGAUGUGCUCAAAGCCACCUGUAGAACUAGUUAACUAGCAGAGCGAGGAGACCUGUCUUCCACCUCCAAGUCCAGUGCCCUUUCCAUUCCACAACACCGCCUUAUAUACAGGGAACGAGUGUUUCCUCAAGUAGUGUAAUGCUAAUCCAGCAAACACUUAGGCAACUUCUUUAUGAGAAACACAAAUGUACCAAGAUGUGCCAGUACACAAAGAACAGACCAUGCCCUGGAAGGAUUUCUAGCGUAGUCAACAAAAUAAACAAUGUUUUUAUUCUUUAAAGUGCAAAGCUACCAGAGUGUAGUAAGCAUUGAAAUAGGGCUAGAUCCCGACUCCCUUACUCGGGUCCAUGAAACAGGAGUGAGGGAGUGGCUAGGGACAGAGAGGAGUACUGCCAGGAGGCUUAUACAAGCAAAGACUCAGUCUGAGUAGAACUUGAACUUACAAAGGCCGGGGAGAACACCGUGACAGGCCAGUGAGUGACUACAGAGUGUGGCCAGCAUGUGCACAGACCCGGGGAAGAGGGGGAGCCAGGUGCCUGCGGAAAACCAAAAUCAUCUGGCACAAUCGGAGGCUGGAGUGUGUAUGUUGUGGGGUAGCAGUGAGCAGUUGGUGGAGGGGAGAUUACUGAAGAAAGAUGAGACUAGAGAUGGAAGCAGGAGCCAGAACUUGAAGCUAUUUUUAAGGCCCUCAUCCCGAGGGAACUAGGGAGCCAAUGUAGGGUUUUAAGCAGGAGAGUGUUGUGAUCACACCCGUGCUUGAGAAAGAUCACUCUGGCGGCAGUGAGGGAACAGAUGGAGGAGGGACAGCAUUAGAAGCAGGGAAGCACUUAUUACUACAGCAAUAGUAAGAGCAAUUUCCACAAUGGCUUCUUUAGAUGUGGUAGGAACCACAGGUACAUACUCAGGCUAAAUGGCCAUCAAAUGUGCACUUGACUAGUUUUCUGUUUCACUUUCUCUCAUUGGCCCAGGGCAGGAGUGGGUGGGUGAUGCAUUAAACGAUUGUUGGACAAAGUUACCAUGAACUGUGAAGCACAUCUCUGGCCUUUUAAAGUACCAUGUACCCAAAGCUCCACACUAAAAAAUGAAUUCAAAUCUGCUGCUACAUAACAAAGUUAGAUGAUUUUUUGACUUUGCAUCUUCAUAGCUUCGAAAAUUCCUAUUUUCCAUCCAUAAUUUGUCCAUUUAAGAUUUGUCCAAACCUUUGGUCUGUUUAUGCUUUUUUUCCCCCUGUAAAAUAUCAAUGUAUUCAGGUAUCAAUCCAUCUGAUGAAUAACUUUAAACUUUAAAAGGCCCUAAUGGGAUCAUUACAUGACCUUUUUCUAUCACCAAAUAAAGGAUGUACAUCAUACUCAAAUAAUACUGAGCACUGAAUGUUUCCUGCUCUGCUAUUAAAAUUUUAAAUUAGUUUAUAGGAUAUGAAACCACAUAGAAAAGAUUUGUUAGCUAUUAAAUUCAUUAAUAUGCCAAACAGCAUGAAGUAUUAUUAAGUAAAUUUUGGUAAUAACUUAUUCAUCAAACAUGAUAGUAAUGCCUGGAGUAUCAGCACAGAUAUGAGAGCACGCACCAUUCCCAGUAGAAAUGUUUAAAAUAUACUGACUAUUCUAAUGCUUUCUUAAGCAAAUCACACCAAAUUCAAUGUUCACUUUUAAUGCUGGGGGGACAUUGUGUCUCUCGACCACUAUAGAGCUGAGAAGUACUACACUUCCGUGAGAGGCAACAGAACUGAGUGUCUUCCGAUUCCCACUGUCUCAUUCAAUAUGAUGUUAUGACUGAGAACCCCGAGGCUGACCAAGGUGAAGUUCUGUGUUGACAUCACAGUCCUGAGAAGAGACAGGGCUUAAGCCUGGGCCCAGAUGUCUUCUGGAGCUCAAAUGCACGUCCACGGUUCAACACACUUACCAGGGAGGAGAAAGGAGAACUCUACGAGGACAGUGAAGACAGCUAAGGCUGAAGGAUGUAGCCCAUCAUAUGAGAUAAAAGAUGAGCCUGGAAACGUAACCCCGUGGCAGAGAGCAUGCCUGAGAUGUGUGAGCUGCAUCCCAGUAGCACCCUGAAACAAUGAAUGGGAGAGCUGUGUAUGAUGGGCGUUUGGUCACCUGCGUCCCUGCUGUGGAACGGUACUGUGUUGGGACUGUGUUGGUGAGAAGACUGAAGCACACAGAUGUUAAGGAGCUUAUAGAGGAUUAUAUAGUGUGAAGCUGGGAUGAAAAAUGGGUUAGACUGAUUUCAAGUCUCAAUCUUUCUAUUAUACCACUCUGCCUCUCUAAACACGUGAUAAAAGGGGUCGUUCUUCCCGGUCUCAGCAAUGUACGUAGUUUGGUUUACUCCAGACAAAAUAUCAGGUCAUUUAUAAACUCUACAUUUUUUUCUUUAAAAUUUGUUGCAUUUUUACCCCUAAUUCUGUCAUGUACUUUCAUUAUCCUAAAAGUUUUAAACAUAACAAUCUUCCAGGUAUGGUACACUUAAUAGAUUCACAUUGUAACCACCACAGGCAGAAAGAUCUUGAAUGUAGUAUUGUUAAAAAUAAAGGAACAUUAAGAUAAACUAGAUGAGGUAAAUUUUCAAAGGGGAUGUGAUUUUGAAAAGCUAUGAAAGAAAAAAGAAGUAAUAAUUUUUUCCAAUGAUGCGUGGUCAAGAGUAGUUAAUGUUUUAUGAACAUGACUGAGAGCGAGCGGGAUCACAGAUGGAAAUGGAUAAGGAUUACCCAAAAGUGUAGACCAAAAUGAGGUAGCAUAGACAAGAUGAUUCUGAGGCGAGAGAUGAGUCAGCUGAGAAAGGGUUAACUCUCCCAAUUUUGGAAAAAAAAAGUGGUGAAACAAAUGAAGAAUCCAUAAAUAAUGACGGAAUCAGGACUGUGUAUCUCCUGAUUGUUGAUAACACCAUUCAUCACGAGGAGUUUUGUUUAGUUUUACAGAAUCAGUAUGAGUUCCCUCCCUAUGAUACUUUUAAGUUCAGUCUUACAGCUGUUGGUUGGACAUAUCUUGCCAGAGUAGUCAUUACUGUUUGCAAGACUUGCAGGUAGGUAGGGACAUUGACAACUCUCUCUGUCCCAAUGUAGUUAGCACCUUCUCACACUAUGAGAGGUAGCUUCAGGAAGGGGCAUCCAGGUUGAUACCAGCUUGAUUUCUCCCUAUCCUGUGACAAAAGUAUGCAGAGUGUCUUUUUCUCAAGUUUUGGCAGCCAUCCAAGAAUAACAACGAUACUAUCCUGGUUUUUUUUUUUUUUUUGGGGGGGGGGUCUUAGAAGCCAACAACUCUAAAGUAGCUAUAUCACAACAGGCACCAGGUUUUUUGGUAGUCUAUGGACUUGGGGGGCAUCAUACCCCAUAUUAGAGGCCCUAGUCCCCAAGAAACAUCCUACUAUCAUUUUAAUAAAUUGAUAUGGUAUCUAAUUGCCACUUAAAAACAUAUCUUUAUAUACACAGAUCAGCGCAUCUCUCAUCCCUCAACAAAGAGGACUCUUUGCAAUGGAUGGAGGCGACUACAGAGAGUCACGGGUAGUACAGAGAAUAAGUGUGUAUGGAAUGUUCGGCCCCAAAAUGAGGGAUCUGUAACACAACCCCAAUACUCAACUCUUAUGGGACAUCAGGGAAGAGGAAGCAGAAAGGAUGUGAGAGCCAGAUGACCGGGUGAACUGCUGUGAAAAUGUAUCCUCUGAACAGGCAAGGAUGCUGCACACAUGACCACACAGCAGCUGUGGUUGCUGAACAAGGCCUGCCCCAGGCCCCACCAGCCUGCAUCCCAGUGUGGAUGUGGGAAGAGCUCGCUAGGCACCACCCCUAGUUGAGGGCUGAGGAAGGAAGAAUAUGUUUUGUGCAGGGAUGAGCUCCCUAAUAGGCUGUCCAUGCCUAAGUGGUUGGCCCUACUCUCCUCAUGGGCAUACAGGCAACAAUGACAGAGCUUGGUAGAAUUUUUAUAUAAAAUUAUAUCAUCAUCAUCAUUAUACUAUUAUAGAAGAGGAGGAAAUGAAUUUAACAGGGACAUAUGGGGAACAUUGGAAGAGUUGGAGGGGAGAAAAGAUGAAUAUAAUCAAAAUGAAAUGUACGUGUGUAUGAAAAAAUGUGGAGAUUUAAAAUUCUUAGAAUCAGGUUUUCAUUGUUUGAAUAUAAGCAAGUGCUUUGAAAUCAGAGUUAUAAAAAGACAACUGCCACUCACAGUGAUGGCAAGAACCCACCACUUCAGAAGCACACCUGUCUGCAACCUGCCCAGGAUGGAUCAUUCACUUUCUACCUGGAGAGUCCUCAGUUUCUGGCCUGGAGUUGAAUGUCAGUACCUUGUAAUGGAUGCAAUCCCACAUAAUGUUCUAAUUUCAUUCAUUUUGGUGAGGACUGCUGUAAGACAUGGCACACACCAGUCUGCUGAGUGUGUCCAUCCAUAGCACAUGCACACCUCCCAUGAUAUGAGCAUCUCACAAUACCAAAUGUAAUGUCAUCAAAGAAAUAAGGCUAACUGUCACAUAAAACCAGCUCCAUACAAAAACCAACUGGUUUAUCUGUUUCUCUCUGAAUAAAGAACAACCUAUCCCAACAGUAGUAGAAAGAGUAUAUAAAAAUUUGAGAAAGGGUAAGUGUGCUAGUUAGUUGUUUUUUGGGGGCUUGUGGGGAAACUAGAUACAUACUGAAAGGCAUCUGUGAAAAAAGAACCUCAUUUUAAAAAAUCCUCCCCACAGACCUGCCUAUAGACCAAUUUGACUAAUGACUGAUGUAGGAAGCUUCAGCCCACUGUGGGUGGCACCACCCCUAUGCAGAUGGUCCUAGAAACCUAAGCAAAGCAAACAAGCCAUGGUGGGGGGAGGGGGGAGGGCAGGCAGGGGGAGGGGGAGGGAGCUACUAAGCCCUAUUUCUCCAUGACACCUACUUUAUUUCCUGCCUCCAGGUUCCUGCCUUGAGUUUCUUCUAUGACUUCCCUUCAUGAUAGACAGUAAGAUGUCAGCUGACAUAAACCUUUCCUCUCCAAGUUGCUUUUGGUCAUGGUGUUUGAUUACAGCAGCAGAAAGCAAACUAAGCCCAUAUGAAUGUUUGCAGUCUAAGAGGAAAAUGUGGCACUAGACACAAAAAUAAAUAUGUGCAAGUCUAUCUAGACUACUAAAUAAGGAGCAACUUAGAUUUUUCAAGAUUAAGUUUGGUAAUAUAAAAUUUUCCCUUCUUAAAAUGACAAGCCACUGUAAUGAAGCACAUUGAGUUUAUUUUAGUAAAUAUAUUUCAAUAGCCCAUCCUGGCACACUGGAAGAGGUCAGUAAUAUUAACUAUGUUAAAUAGAAAAAAAUCUUCACUCUUGUCAUCUGUGAAGAUCUUUGAAUUUUCCACCAUAAAUAUCCAGGGUUUGUUGUAACUGCCAAGAUAACAGCUUCUUAAACUCCCCAGCCUAGCUGAGUGACACCCAACACUUCAAGAAUUACUAAGUUUAACACUUCAGCAAGUAAAAAUGCCCUCAGUUGGUGCCAGGGCAUCCAGGGCAGUAUUUCUCUAUUUUGUUUUGUUCAUGGCUAGAUUAUAAGAUCUUUGUUCACAAAGUUAAUAAACUUCAAACACUCUGGA